CAGAAAUAUGUGUUGUUGGCAUCGACUUCCUAUGGUUGGGCAAUGGCUUCCGCCUUCCGGACCAGGUGACGUCAGCGGUCUGGAUUUCUGCCAGUGUUCUCCUGCCCAGGAAACGGACUUCCGGCAAGGGCUCCCAGCUGUCUCUGUCUUCCUGGAGCAGCAGACCUCUCAAGUUGCAGUGAGAGACUGAAAAUCAGAUCUCGGGGAAAGUUUCACCAUGGAGAAGGAGAGAGAGCAGCGGAAGACACUAUGGAGAGAAAGCUGGGCACAAGGGCAACGCAGCUGUGGGAGGACGACUGUUUGGUGGUCCUAAGUGUGAAGCUUGGCCCCUUGCCUGAAAAGAAGGUCUCUGCCUACUGGACGAUCUGCUGAGAACACAAAGCUGCUUCUUGAAGCUGGGUGGUUGGCUUUCCUCACCCGACCAGACCCAGCUGGGAGGCACCAUUCUAGCUGUGCUGCAGGAGGAUCUGCACAGACAAUUGAAACAACCCGAAUGUCAGAUUUAUGGAGGUCAUGUGUCCUGAGUAUCCACAUCAAGAUACAAACAAGCAAUGAAGCCAGGUACCCCAUCACUGCUUCACUGUUUUACUGCAAUAAUUCUAGCUAUGAUUAGUUGUAGCUACAGUGUUAAGCCCCAUUGUUAAUUAUUUUUUGGUGAUUUGGGGAGCCAGAGUCAUGGGCAUAUAAUUCAAAUGUUGUUCCUUUACUGGGGUCAGACAGAUUCACAUGACACAGUUUGCUUCUUUGCCUCGUCUGUCCGUUCCUCUCCCUUGUCUGUCAUUAUCAUGAGGCCAUUACUGAAUUUUCAAGGCAUGACCCUUGUUAGGAAAUGAUGGAAACAAUGCAGUUGUUCUAUAACCACCAAUUACCUUGUGAAUUCUUACAAAUAAAUGCACUCAACUUUCAACAUUACUCAUUUAUUGUAAAAUGGUAAGAGGUCCAACAUGUUUAGAGAUGUGGUUCAUGCUUUGCUGGCUCUACUUCCUGGAAAAGGAUCCAGAAUAGUGAUGGCCAGGUGAGACAUUGUGAGGGGAGCAAUGGCUGGUCAAGGUCACACACAAAACCCUGACUGGAGAAGCAUGGCAUCUUCUGACGUCUUUUGUAAAGAGGACAGUUUUCUUUAGAUAGAAACAUCAGAUGGAAGAAGCUUUGUUGACUGUGUUGGGGAGGUCUUUGGCCCUCCAGUGACCUUAGACCUCCCACAGGUCUAGGCAAAUCUGCUUCAUAUUGUAUGAAACUUCAGUUAUUAUGUAUAAAUUCCUAUAAAAUAAGAAAUAGGCAAGAGAUGCAUUCCUGAGAAGAGGGAGUGAAGUUGCCUUUGAGAGGAGGUGGAGGGCAUAACCUAUUAGGUUAUUGAAGGUAUUAAAUGGGAUGAUGCAUGAAAAAGGACUUAUCUAGCCCCUGGCAGAUAGUAGGAGCUCAAUAAAUGUGAAAUUACUCCUCCUCCUCCUCCUAUUAUUAUUAUUAUUACCUGCCUCUCAGCUUCAGCCCCCUUGGCUUUCCUGUCCGGCAACACUUCCCAACUUGUUCAUUUCUUGGCUUUCCUUGGGUUCUUUUGUUUAUCUUAAGUUCUACUUCUGUUUUCUGAAAUAAUCAUAUUUUGUAUCUACGGUUGAAGAGCUAAGACCACUGAGGGACCUCAGGAGUACGUGUAGUCAUA